rnacentral:rRNA from 1 species
ACGCUGGCGGCAGGCUUAACACAUGCAAGUCGAACGGUAACAGGAAUUAGCUUGCUAAUUUGCUGACGAGUGGCGGACGGGUGAGUAAUGCUUGGGAAUCUGGCUUAUGGAGGGGGAUAACUACGGGAAACUGUAGCUAAUACCGCGUAAAAUCUUCGGAUUAAAGGGUGGGACUUUCGAGCCACCUGCCAUAAGAUGAGCCCAAGUGGGAUUAGGUAGUUGGUUAGGUAAAGGCUGACCAAGCCGACGAUCUCUAGCUGGUCUGAGAGGAUGACCAGCCACACUGGAUCUGAGACACGGUCCAGACUCCUACGGGAGGCAGCAGUGGGGAAUAUUGCACAAUGGGGGGAACCCUGAUGCAGCCAUGCCGCGUGAAUGAAGAAGGCCUUCGGGUUGUAAAGUUCUUUCGGUGACGAGGAAGGUUGAUAGGUUAAUAGCCUAUCAAAUUGACGUUAAUCACAGAAGAAGCACCGGCUAACUCCGUGCCAGCAGCCGCGGUAAUACGGGGGGUGCGAGCGUUAAUCGGAAUAACUGGGCGUAAAGGGCACGCAGGCGGUGACUUAAGUGAGAUGUGAAAGCCCCGAGCUUAACUUGGGAAUUGCAUUUCAUACUGGGUCGCUAGAGUACUUUAGGGAGGGGUAGAAUUCCACGUGUAGCGGUGAAAUGCGUAGAGAUGUGGAGGAAUACCGAAGGCGAAGGCAGCCCCUUGGGAAUGUACUGACGCUCAUGUGCGAAAGCGUGGGGAGCAAACAGGAUUAGAUACCCUGGUAGUCCACGCUGUAAACGAUGUCGAUUUGGGGAUUGGGCUUUGAGCUUGGUGCCCGUAGCUAACGUGAUAAAUCGACCGCCUGGGGAGUACGGCCGCAAGGUUAAAACUCAAAUGAAUUGACGGGGGCCCGCACAAGCGGUG